AGUGAACGCUGGCGGCAGGCCUAACACAUGCAAGUCGAACGGCAGAACGGUGCUUGCUUGUUGUUACAGGGGCGGACGGGUGAGUAAGGCCUGGGUACAUGGCAGGUUGCUUUGGCUUAGGUCAGGAAAAGGGGGAUCAUACCGUAAUAGCGCAGAGGGCGAACGGGUGGGAUCAUCGGAUCUUACGCCAUCAGGUGAGCGAAGGUCGGAUUAGCUAGUUGGUGGGGUAAAGGCCUACCAAGGCGACGAUCCGUAGCUGGUCUGAGAGGAUGAUCAGCCACACUGGAACUGAGACACGGUCCAGACUCCUACGGGAGGCAGCAGUGGGGAAUAUUGGACAAUGGGCGAAAGCCUGAUCCAGCCAUACCGCGUGUGUGAAGAAGGCCUUCGGGUUGUAAAGCCCUUUUGGUUGGAAAGAAAAGCAGUAGGUUAAUACCCUGCUGUUUUGACGGUACCAACAGAAUAAGCACCGGCUAACUUCGUG
rnacentral:rRNA from 1 species